rnacentral:rRNA from 1 species
CCCCUAGAUGUUCUGGGCCGCACGCGCGCUACACUGAACAGUUCAACAAGUCUUAACCUUGGCCGAUAGGUCUGGGUAAUCUUUGAACGCUGUUCGUGAUUGGGAUAGACCUUUGCAAUUAUGGGUCUUCAACGAGGAAUUCCUAGUAAACGCAAGUCGUCAGCUUGCAUUGAUUACGUCCCUGCCCUUUGUACACACCGCCCGUCGCACCUACCGAUUGAAUGGUCCGGUGAAAUCUCGGGACGGCGGCUUGGUCGCUUGCGUCCGACUGCUGAAACUUGAUUAAACCAUAUCAUUUAGAGGAAGGUGAAGUCGUANCA